rnacentral:lncRNA from 1 species
CUGUUUUCAACUCUCUAGAGACAGCAGGAGCGGUAGAGAUACUCUCAAUGAUCGGCUAUGAAAAGCCAACUGACAUUUACUCGAGGUGCUGACUUGUUGCACCCUCGACAACUACUGUGAUUAUUAUUAUUUGACCAUGCUGGUCAUUUAUGAACAUCUUGGCCAUGUUCUGUUAUAAUCUCCACCUGGCAUAGCCAGAAGAGGACUGGCCACCUCUCAUAGCCUGGUUCUGCUCUAGGUUUCUUCCUAGGUUUUGGCCUUUCUAGGGAGUUUUUCCUAGCCACUGUGCUUCUACACCGGCACUGCUUGCUGUUUGGGGUUUUAGGCUGGGUUCCUGUACAGCACUUUGAGAUAUCAGCUGAUGUGAUGCCUCCCUCACUGGUGUACUGGCCCAUUCAGUCUCCAGGAAGAACACAGUACCCACCCCUGAGAGGCCACCGUGUUGAGGAUCAGCGUGGCAGAUGUGUUGUUGCCUACCCUUACCACCUGGGGGCGGCCCAUCAGGAAGUCCAGGAUCCAGUUGCAGAGGGAGGUGUUAAGUCCCAGGGUAGCCUUCCACAAGCUUCCCACAAUAAGUUGGGUGAAUUAUGGCCCAUUCCUCCUGACAGAGCUGGUGUAAAUGAGUCAGCAGAGACAAUUAAAACGUCUGCGACCUACUCUGGUCCCAUCCUUACAACUCACCUCCUCCGUUCUUGUAGCAGAGGUAAGGAAAGCGCCACGUUACCCAGGCCGAUGAUGGGUCCCAUCACAGACGGGAUGAACUCUAGUUUGUUGCCGCAUUGGCCCCUCUCUUGCAUCUUCUCCUCUGACUGGAGCUGAGGGACAGGGACCAGGUCCUUCAACAUGCUGCUGUUCCUGCCAUUUGAGAGUGCCGCUUUAACUAUUUCAAGCAAUAAAAACAUUUUGGCUAUUUUCAAG